rnacentral:rRNA from 1 species
GACGAACGCUGGCGGCGUGCUUAACACAUGCAAGUCGAACGGAAAGACCCUGCGUUUGUGGGGUGCUCGAGUGGCGAACGGGGGAGUAACACGUGAGUAACCUGCCCUUGACUGUGGGAUAACUUCAGGAAAAUGGGGCUAAUACCGGAGAGGAGCUCCUGCUGCGUGGGGGGGGUUGGAAAGUUUCGGCGGUUGGGGAUGGACUCGAGGCUUAUCAGCUUGUUGGUGGGGUAGUGGCUUACCAAGGCUUUGACGGGUAGCCGGCCUGGGAGGGUGACCGGCCACAUUGGGACUGAGAUACGGACCAGACUCCUACGGGAGGCAGCAGUGGGGAAUAUUGCACAAUGGGCGGACGCCUGAUGCAGCAACGCCGCGUGCGUGAUGACGGCCUUCGGGUUGUAAACCGAUUUCGCCUGUGCCGAAGCGUGAGUGACGGUAAUGGGUAAAGAAGCACCGGCUAACUACGUG